UUACCUACCAAAAAUACAUACUUCUUUACAUUCCAUAGCAUUGUAUGUUCAUAUGGGUACAUAAAGAAGUAUGUGCUCUGAGUAGGUAUU
ensembl:miRNA